rnacentral:rRNA from 1 species
CCUACGGGAGGCAGCAGUGAGGAAUAUUGGUCAAUGGACGCAAGUCUGAACCAGCCAUGCCGCGUGCAGGAAGACGGCUCUAUGAGUUGUAAACUGCUUUUGUACGAGGGUAAAUCCCGAUACGUGUAUCGGGUUGAAAGUAUCGUACGAAUAAGGAUCGGCUAACUCCGUGCCAGCAGCCGCGGUAAUACGGAGGAUUCAAGCGUUAUCCGGAUGUAUUGGGUGUAAAGGGUGCGUAGGCGGUUCGAUAAGGUAGAGGUGAAAUCCCGGGGCUCAACUCCGGCACUGCCUCCGAUACUGUCGUGAUAGAGUUUAGUUGCGGUAGGCGGAAUGUAUGGUGUAGCGGGGAAAUGCAUAGAGAUCAUACAGAACACCGAUUGCGAAGGCAGCUUACCAAACUACGACUGACGUUGAGGCACGAAAGCGUGGGGAGCAAACAGGAUUAGAUACCCCUGUAGUC